rnacentral:rRNA from 1 species
GGGGGGGGGGGGGGGGGGGGGGGGUGGGGGCAGGGCGGGGGGAGUGGUGGUGGUGGUUGCGCUGGGAGGACUUCGCGGCGGGCGGGUGGGUGACACGUAAAGACCCUGCCUCAUAGACUGGGACGACUCUUGGGAACGAUCGCUAAUCCCGGAUCACCGUCUUUCUCGCCUGAGAGAUAUUUAACAGUUGGUUAUGCUAACCCUAUGAGGUGGCUUUGCGAUGCAUUAGCUAGUUGGUGGGGUACAGCCCCCCCAAGGCGACUAUGCAUAGCCGACCUGCGAGGGUGAUCGGCCACAAUGGGACUGAGACAAGGCCCAGACUCCUACGGGAGGCAGCAGUAGGGAAUCUUCCGCAAUGGGCGAAAGCCUGACGGAGCAACGCCGCGUGAGUGAAGAAGGAUUUCGGUUCGUAAAGCUCUGUUGUUAGGGAAGAAUGGAUAUGUAGUAACUAUACAUGUAAGAGACGGUACCUAACCAGAAAGCCACGGCUAACUACGUG